rnacentral:rRNA from 1 species
UCGAGAAUCUUCGGCAAUGGGCGCAAGCCCGACCGAGCGACGCCGCGUGGAGGACGAAGGCCUUCGGGUUGUAAACUCCUGUCGAGGGGGAACAAGGGGCGGUGAAGAAUCGCCCUUGAGUGAUCCCUGGAGGAAGCACGGGCUAAGUUCGUGCCAGCAGCCGCGGUAAGACGAACCGUGCGAACGUUAUUCGGAAUCACUGGGCUUAAAGCGCGCGUAGGCGGGCCGGCGCGUCGGAUGCUGAAAGCCCCCGGCUCAACCGGGGAAGGGGCACCGAAACGGCCGGCCUGGAGUGGGGUAGGGGGAGCCGGAACUUCCGGUGGAGCGGUGAAAUGCGUUGAGAUCGGAAGGAACGCCCGUGGCGAAAGCGGGCUCCUGGACCCCAACUGACGCUGAGGCGCGAAAGCCAGGGGAGCGAACGG